UGAGAUCCGUUGAUAGUACUCAUCAGUGUGAUGUGCAGUCUCCAAUUUCAGCAACGUGUAUCGAAGUGUCCCAAUUAGUGCCGACCACAGUUCAAUUGCGGCGGUUGUAUUUUUUUGCAAGUAUAGGUAUUGGCUGUUGUACAGCGAAGGCGAUCGCGAGCCUGUCAGUUAGGAGACUUGGGAUUGAAAGCAGCAUAGUUUGCUCAGAAAGCUCCCAGUUGAGAUGGACGAGUUGAGGCGCGCAGAUGCGAAAGUAUACGCAGCGACUCACCCUGGUGUUCGAGUUAGAGGUCAUAUCAACAGAUUUAACCCAAGGUUGAGGUGGAAACUCAGCCGCAAAAACCCUUUCAACAGAUUCCGGGUGGCCAAGUACAAAACUACCCAUCCAGUUAAGUUCCAGAAAGCUAGAGUUCACAGCAGGUUGAAUUACAUGAAUCCUUUGUAUUACAUCCGCCGUAUCACAUACAAUCUCACCCACAUUGGCCGAAGGCAUCACUCAACUACCACCUAUUAUUAAGUCUCACUACGGGUCCGUGAGUUUUCUUUCGUGUGGAGAUGCAGAAAUGGUCUGCGACGACACAAAGAGUAGUGGUUAUGUUAGUUGCUCAUUGUACAUCUUUUUGUACGUAUCUGGUACUAGGUAGUGAAGUGACUGCAGUUAGUGAACCUGCAGAAGGUUACUUUUUUCUGUGUAGAAAUGUGCACGAAGAUGGUCAGCUAAGACUACUUCAAUUAAAUGUGUCCGAUUUUGAGACAUCUGAAGCGUCGAUUUUGACCGAUACUUUGUUUGGAUAAUCGGUUAUGCGGUAUUUCUUUCGAUUGUGUAGGGGUCAGCGCAAAGUUCCAAAUCAAAAUGAUAUCUUAUCCUGGCGCAUGCUCUGUUGAGGGGAUGAGGAAAUAAAAAUCAUGUGUUGAUCUCUGCC